rnacentral:misc_RNA from 1 species
GAAAUGCGAUAAGUAAUGUGAAUUGCAGAAUUCAGUGAAUCAUCGAAUCUUUGAACACACAUUGCGCCCGCCAGUAUUCUGGCGGGCAUGCCUGUUCGAGCGUCAUUACAACCCUCAGGCCCCGGGCCUGGCGUUGGGGAUCGGCGGAAGCCCCCUGCGGGCACAACGCCGUCCCCCAAAUACAGUGGCGGUCCCGCCGCAGCUUCCAUUGCGUAGUAGCUAACACCUCGCAACUGGAGAGCGGCGCGGCCACGCCGUAAAACACCCAACUUCUGAAUGUUGACCUCGAAUCAGGUAGGAAUACCCGCUGAACUUAAGC